AACAAACGCUGGCGGCGUGCCUAAUACAUGCAAGUCGAACGAGGUAGCAAUACCUAGUGGCGCACGGGUGAGUAACGCGUGGAUAAUCUGCCUUUGAGUGGGGGAUAACUAGUCGAAAGAUUAGCUAAUACCGCAUAAGACCACAGGAACUGAGGUUCUAGGGGUUAAAGGUUUUUCGCUCAUAGAUGAGUCCGCGUGAGAUUAGCUAGUUGGUGAGGUAACGGCUCACCAAGGCGACGAUCUCUAACUGGUCUGAGAGGAUGAUCAGUCACACUGGAACUGAGACACGGUCCAGACUCCUACGGGAGGCAGCAGUAGGGAAUAUUGCACAAUGGAGGAAACUCUGAUGCAGCGACGCCGCGUGAGUGAUGAAGGCUUUCGGGUCGUAAAGCUCUGUCGCAGGGGAAUAACACAAUGAAUGUACCCUGUAAGAAAGGAUCGGCUAACUUCGUGCCAGCCGCCGCCGUAA
rnacentral:rRNA from 1 species